AUUGAACGCUGGCGGCAGGCUUAACACAUGCAAGUCGAGCGGGGUGAUGGUGCUUGCACUAUCACUUAGCGGCGGACGGGUGAGUAAUGCUUAGGAAUCUGCCUAUUAGUGGGGGACAACAUCUCGAAAGGGAUGCUAAUACCGCAUACGUCCUACGGGAGAAAGCAGGGGAUCACUUGUGACCUUGCGCUAAUAGAUGAGCCUAAGUCGGAUUAGCUAGUUGGUGGGGUAAAGGCCUACCAAGGCGACGAUCUGUAGCGGGUCUGAGAGGAUUAUACGCCACACUGGGACUGAGACACGGCCCAGACUCCUACGGGAGGCAGCAGUGGGGAAGAUUGGACAAUGGGGGGAACCCUGAUCCAGCCAUGCGGCGUGUGUGAAGAAGGCCUUAUGGUUUUAAAGCACUUUAAGCGAGGAGGAGGCUCUUUUGGUUAAUACCCAAGAUGAGUGGACGUUACUCGCAGAAUAAGCACCGGCUAACUCUGUGCCAGCAGCCGCCGUAA
rnacentral:rRNA from 1 species